AUGUGUCUGGCAAGUGUCAUACAGAAGCCUGAAGACAGACAUUUCCUUCAGUACGAUGAGCAAAUGGCAGCCUCAGCUCCUGCUGGAAAUACAGGCAUGUGCAGCUUCCAACACAAUCUGACAGUCUGCAGUGAAAGAGGACAGUUGUUGAGGAGGCAGGAUGACUGUUUGGAUGGCUCAGAGAUGAAAGAGUUUCAGUGGAUGGAAGCGGCAUGCAAUGGAGGUGGAGCCUCUGCACUGAUAGAAUCUUCGAGCUUUGAACACAUCUCUUUUCAGCAUGUUUUGUUCUCAAAGAUUUCUAUGCCUGUUGAUUUUAUAGCCUUUACAGUGUUCACAAAAUUAUAGCCUAAAAAUGGCACUGUGUCAUUUUAGCUUCGGUCUACAGCCAUAUAGGAGAGCAAAUACCAUCACUUUCUUCAUCAGAUGAGCAGUCCUAAACGCUUUUCUAUAUAAGAAAAGUUCUUCAAGUUCAAUCCUUUGUUUCCCUGUGCUCCUGGAGAUGUUGGUAAUAUCAGAGAGAACUGUAGGCUGAAAGCAUUCAUAAAACGUGAAGAGAUGGUGAGAUGCACUAGCAAGUUUGGCUUCGUGGAUUUAAUAGCCUCCUCUGCACUGAGCGUGCUGUGUCCUCAGAGCUGGUUGUACAGCAGUGGGACUGACAGCAGAGCAGCUGCAGAGGGGUUCCAAGGAAAGGGUUUAGCAAAACACAGCGAGCGUGGGUCCUUGAAAGGCUCCAGACUGUCUCAUCCAUCCAGACCUCGGUCAGUCUGAAGCUGAAGUCAUUAUGUUUCUUGUUUGUGUAUCUCAAAAUUUGAAAAUCUCUUCUGAUUUCUUCUGAGAAAAUGCUUUAACUGAUCUCUGCGCCUUUGGUAGAAGAGGGAAAAAAUAACUGCCUUCCCUUAAAUGAAGUUACAGUACUGUGUGACAGUGGGGGAGUGCAUCCAGUCCCGUGCUGCUGCUGCUUCAUCAUCCAUUACCCCAGCUGCUCGUAACAGCAGCCAUAGAUAAGUGAGUCUGACCAUCCUGGCUUCUAGAAAUUCUUGUCUACCUUAAUGUCCGCGGUUCCCCUACAUAAAUCAAGUGCAGUUGUGUCUGGAAUAAUUUUCUGCCAAGGCUAAUACAGCUGUUUCAUUCUUAUAUCAUAUCAGGCAGUAAGAGGGUAUGAUUGCUUAUGCGGCUGGGAACCUCGUGCUUCCAGGUUUCACUCUGCCUCCAGCAUUGUAGAGCAUAAUCCAAACAGCAUGUUGUGCUCUGCACAGACCACUUAUGUGGAAGAAUCAAUAAUGGAAGAGGAAGUAUUGUGCAUCAAAUGGAGAGGAGUGUCAUUUGGCUUCUUUGGCACUAUUGC
rnacentral:lncRNA from 1 species